AUCGGCUGUCCUGGUAUGGUAAGCGCACGUUGCAGCAAGAAGAGUCGACCGACAUCACCUAGCCUUCUGGCUCUGUCCCUGUUGAGCCUUGGAUUACCUAAUUGGAGUUGUGCCUGCCCCAAGUCAAAAGCUGAUGGUACAAAUAAACUCAAACGACUUUCUCUUCUUGUAACAAUUCUUAAACCGGAUUCGGAAGGUGAUCAACAAAAGGAAUUUCUCCCGACUCUCUGCAUCAUCUCCUGUUUUUUAGAAUUGAUCAUUGUGAAAAAGGUUAGUUUUUUCUCAUCCUGUAAAUAAAUUGAAUGUCUGGGGUUCAAGUUAAUGGUGGAAACAAGCGGCAGUUGCCAUCAUGGAUGUUGGGUGCAACGAAAACUGAGCAAACAGAAAAACCUAAAAGAAAGAAUGAAAAGACAUCAAUUUUAGGGAUUCAGCAAGCACCCAAAGUUCUAAAGCCUAAGAGAAUUCCAUUGGCUAAGAAAGAGGUGGUGGGCAUAUCUGAGGAUAGUGCAUUGAAGAUGGAUUCGAAUGUCCUAGUAAAAUGUAGAACUAGGAAAAGAAAACCGGCAUCAGAACGGCUGGAUUUGGAUAAUGACGACGAAAUUGUUGAUGACGAUGAUGAUGAGGAUAUUGGUUUAAGGAAGAAGAGAACCAGGAAAAGAGUUGAGGAGGUUGGAAGUAAAUUUCAGCUGUCCGCUUGUUCAAUGAAGAGAAAUCGGAAAGAUAGUAAGAUGGGCGGUAGAGAUGAAUGUUUAGUUACUUCACUAAGUGAGGAAGAUGAGGAAUUGAUGGUCGAAGAUCUUAUGACAAUUGCUGAGGAGUAUGUAAAAGCUGACGAAGGGAAUAAAUGUCAGCAGUCAGAGGCAAAAGAUCCUGAACCUACCCAACUUCCAGUAAGUUUUGAUUUCUAUAGAAAUGACUCAAGAAGUUCUAUUGAAGCCAUUCAAACCAGUAAAGAUUUUACAGUAAGUAUGAAAGAAAGGUCAACUUCUACAUUCAGUAAGAAUAAUCGGGAGAGUUCUGAAGACGGAGGCAUCAUCAUUAGUAGUAUGAAAGAAAGGUCAACUUCUACAUUCAAUAAGAAUAAUCGGGAGAGUUCUGAAGACGGAGGCAUCAUUAGUAGUCAGAGCCGAACAGGGGAUUCUACUCAAGAUAUGUUGGAUCUCUUUCUGGGUCCCUUGCUAAGGAUACCCCAAACUGCAGAGAAAAAGUCUGAAUCUAUCACAGAGGAUUUUAACUUGGCCCGUGAAUCCAGAAAGCAGAAACGAAGUGAGGUUUAUGGGGAAGAAGUAGUUCCACUGACGAAAAAGAAGAGCAGCCUCAAAGACAAGGUUUCAAUGUUUUUUUGACUGAAAUUUGUGAUUCUUCGACGAAUCAAUUGAUUUUCGCAAAACCAGACCACAGUGAAGAUGGAAUUUAAGAUAUGUUAACUACUGAAUAUCUGGAACACUCAGUAAUAUGCUUUUAGAACAAUUGUUUCUCCUUUAUCAUGGCUCUACACAUGAACGAGCCCUAUGGAUGUUUCCUCGAUUCCCAGUUUUUAUGAACGUGAGUGAUCAUAUCAUUUGCCUGGAGCGUGCACUGUACAGCGCAAGGUGGCCAGAAGUAAGCAGGGUAGGAGAAAGGGAGUCAAAUUAUCAUCAACUCCUGGAUAAACCUAUCAUAGCAAAGCUGCCAAAGCAUGAUUUAUUGGAGCGGAUUCGGCAGAGAGAAGGCUCCUUACAACUUCCUAUCAUGGAAUCAUAAGAAGGGCAUAGAAAAGUUUUGGUGUUUUCAGAGUGAAUUUACCUGGAAAAGAUCUCCAAUGUUGACAAUUAAAGCUUCUCGGUGCGGUUUUACUGCAACCCAUUUGGAAUCCUUCAUCAACUGUAACCCCCCAACUUGAUCUU